GAUAAACGCUGGCGGCGUGCAUAACACAUGCAAGUCGAACGAUGAAACUUAAAUGAUCUCUUCGGAGUGACUUUAAGUGGAUUAGUGGCGGACGGGUGAGUAACGCGUGAGUAACCUGCCUUGCACAAGGGGAUAGCCGUUGGAAACGACGAAUAAUACCCUAUGAUAUGAUAGUCUCGCAUGAGAUUAUCAUCAAAGAUUUAUCGGUGUAAGAUGGACUCGCGUCUGAUUAGCUAGUUGGUGGGGUAACUGCUCACCAAGGCAACGAUCAGUAGCCGGCUUGAGAGAGUGUACGGCCACAUUGGGACUGAGACACGGCCCAGACUCCUACGGGAGGCAGCAGUGGGGAAUUUUGCACAAUGGGGGAAACCCUGAUGCAGCGACGCCGCGUGAUUUAGAAGGCCUUCGGGUUGUAAAAAUCUUUUGUAUGGGAAGAAAAUGACAGUACCAUACGAAUAAGGACCGGCUAAUUACGUGCCAGCAGCCGCGGUAAUACGUAAGGUCCGAGCGUUGUCCGGAAUCAUUGGGCGUAAAGGCUACGUAGGCGGAUAAGCAAGUUAGAAGUGAAAUCCUAUAGCUCAACUAUAGUAAGCUUUUAAAACUGCUCAUCUUGAGGUAUGGAAGGGAAAGUGGAAUUCCUAGUGUAGCGGUGAAAUGCGCAGAUAUUAGGAGGAAUACCGGUGGCGAAGGCGACUUUCUGGCCAUAAACUGACGCUGAGGUACGAAAGCGUGGGUAGCAAACAGGAUUAGAUACCCUGGUAGUCCAAGGGCGAAUUCCACAGUGGAUAUCAAGCUUAUCGAUACCGUCGACCUCGAGGGGGGGGCCCGGUACCCAGCUUUUGUUCUCUUUAGUGAGGGUUA
rnacentral:rRNA from 1 species